GUGAGGAAUUUCCCGCAAUGGGCGAAAGCCUGACGGAGCAAUGCCGCGUGAAGGAUGAAGGCCUAUGGGUUGUAAACUUCUUUUCUCAGAAAAGAAUUAUGACGGUAUCUGAGGAAUAAGCAUCGGCUAACUCUGUGCCAGCAGCCGCGGUAAGACAGAGGAUGCAAGCGUUAUCCGGAAUGAUUGGGCGUAAAGCGUCUGUAGGUUGUUUAAAAAGUAUUCUGUCAAAGAUUAGGGCUUAACCCUAGAUAGGCAGAAUAAACUUUUAAGCUAGAGUUUGGUAGAGGCAGAGGGAAUUCCCGGUGGAGCGGUGAAAUGCGUAGAUAUCGGGAGGAACACCAAAGGCGAAGGCACUCUGCUGGGCCAAUACUAACACUGAGAGACGAAAGCGAGGGGAGCAAAUGGGAUUAGAAACCCUGGUAGUCC
rnacentral:rRNA from 1 species